UUUCCUACGGGGCGCCGCAGUGAGGAAUAUUGGUCAAUGGACGAAAAUCUGAACCAGCCAUGCCGCGUGCAGGGAGACGGCUCUAUGAGUUGUAAACUGCUUUUGUACAAGGGUAAACCUGAAUACGUGUAUUCAGCUGAAAGUACUGUACGAAUAAGGAUCGGCUAACUCCGUGCCAGCAGCCGCGGUAAUACGGAGGAUCCAAGCGUUAUCCGGAUUUGUUGGGUUUAAUGGGUGCGUCGGCGGAUUGUUAAGUUAGAGGUGAAAUGUCCGGGCUAAACUCGG
rnacentral:rRNA from 1 species